GAGUUUCAUCAUGGCUCAGAUUGAACGCUGGCGGCAGGCCUAACACAUGCAAGUCGAGCGCGAAAGCACUUCGGUGUGAGUAGAGCGGCGGACGGGUGAGUAACGCGUAGGAAUCUACCUAGUAGUGGGGGACAACUCGGGGAAACUCGAGCUAAUACCGCAUAAGCCCUACGGGGGAAAGCGGGGGACCUUCGGGCCUCGCGCUAUCGGAUGAGCCUGCGUAGGAUUAGCUAGUUGGUGGGGUAAAGGCCCACCAAGGCGACGAUCCUUAGCUGGUCUGAGAGGAUGAUCAGCCACACUGGAACUGAGACACGGUCCAGACUCCUACGGGAGGCAGCAGUGGGGAAUAUUGCGCAAUGGGCGAAAGCCUGACGCAGCCAUGCCGCGUGUGUGAAGAAGGCCUUAGGGUUGUAAAGCACUUUCAAUUGGGAAGAAAAGUUUGUCGUUAAUAGCGCCAAGCUCUGACAUUACCUUUAGAAGAAGCACCGGCUAACUCCGUGCCAGCAGCCGCGGUAAUACGGAGGGUGCGAGCGUUAAUCGGAAUUACUGGGCGUAAAGCGUACGUAGGCGGAUCAGAAAGUAUGGGGUGAAAUCCCAGGGCUUAACCCUGGAACUGCCUCAUAAACUCCUGGUCUUGAGUUCGAGAGAGGUGAGGGAAUUUCAAGUGUAGAGGUGAAAUUCGUAGAUAUUUGGAGGAACACCAGUGGCGAAAGGCGGCUCACUGGCUCGAUACUGACGCUGAGGUACGAAAGUGUGGGGAGCAAACAGGAUUAGAUACCCUGGUAGUCCACGCCGUAAACGAUGUCAACUAUCUGUUGGAAAGCAUUGCUUUUCAGUGGAGCAGCUAACGUAAUAAGUUGACCGCCUGGGGAGUACGGCCGCAAGGCUAAAACUCAAAUGAAUUGACGGGGACCCGCACAAGCGGUGGAGCAUGUGGUUUAAUUCGAUGCAACGCGAAAAACCUUACCUACUCUUGACAUACUUGGAGGCUCUUGUAAUGAGAGUGUGCCUUUUGGAACCAAGAUACAGGUGCUGCAUGGCUGUCGUCAGCUCGUGUCGUGAGAUGUUCCGUUAAGUCGGAUAACGAGCGCAACCCUUACCCUUAUUUGCCAGCGAUUCGGUCGGGAACUAUAAGGGGACUGCCGAUGAUAAACCGGAGGAAGGUAAGGACGACGUCAAGUCAUCAUGGCCCUUACGAGUAGGGGUACACACGUGCUACAAUGGGAGAUACAGACGGACGCUAAGCCGCGAGGUGGUGCUAAUCCUAAAAAGUCUUUCGUAGUCCGGAUUGGAGUCUGCAACUCGACUCCAUGAAGUCGGAAUCGCUAGUAAUCGUGAAUCAGAAUGUCACGGUGAAUACGUUCCCGGGCCUUGUACACACCGCCCGUCACACCAUGGGAGUGGGUUGCAAAAGAAGUGGGUAGACUAACCUUCGGGAGGUCGCUCACCACUUUGUGAUUCAUGACAGGGGUGAAGUCGUAACAAGGUAACC
rnacentral:rRNA from 1 species